GACUCCAUGGAAUUGGGCUAAAGCUGCUGCCACCACCCGGACACGGAAAAUCUAAUGAGACUGGAACCAUAUGUCAAAGUUUCCAGGAAAGAAGCGCUCAGGAACCUGAGCAGCAUGAAGGCCGGCUCCAGGGUCUGUACCACAGCUAGCUGAGGAAACGCUCGCCCAUCUGACCCACCGUGGUGGCCUCGACAAGGUCCUCGGCAGUAGUAACAUACAUGGCGGGUACUGCACCACUCAAGCCCCAGGAGCAUGCCUGCUCUUGUCUGCUAAUUCUUAGGAGGGGCAAACCGGCCCACUUUGCCACAGUGAAGGCAGAAAUGCACGUGAUGGAGAGGUAGAGGAGCCGUGGCUGUGGGGAGCCGGAAGGGGGAAUAAAGCCAGGAGACGAAACUCCUAUAACCAG
rnacentral:lncRNA from 1 species